rnacentral:lncRNA from 1 species
UACAUACAAAGAAGAAGAAUGAUUGUUGGCAACCAGCACAGAUGCACCCCAAUAAUGGUCUCUACCUCACUAAAACCCCAGUUUUUCCUUCUCUAUUUUGUCUAAAUAGAGAUAAAUAUCCACACACACACACAAAAUCAGACCUGGGGAUGCAGCAAUAAAGUAUAAUAUAUCUGGAAUCCUAAUUAGGAUUUUCCGCUGUCGACACCGAGUUCAAAAUGCCACCACAACCACAACGAGUUUAAUUCACCUUGUAUCAUCAAUCAAAAUUGUCAAUGUAAUAUGUAAAUACCUUCAAGGUUCUGCAAUCAGAAUCUGUCCAUCUCAAUGUUCAGCAGCAUCGG